rnacentral:rRNA from 1 species
GACGAACGCUGGCGGCGUGCUUAACACAUGCCAGUCGAACGGAAAGGCCCUGCUUUUGUGGGGUGCUCGAGUGGCGAACGGGUGAGUAACACGUGAGUAACCUGGCCUGGACUUUGUGAUAACUUCAGGAAACUGGGGCUAAUACCGGAUAGGAGCUCCUGCUGCAUGGGGGGGGUUGGAACGUUUCGGCGGGUGGGGAUGGACUCGCGGGUUAUCAGCUUGUUGGGGGGGUAGUGGCUUACCAAGGCUUUGGUGGGUAGCCGGCAUGAGAGGGUGACCGGCGACAUUGGGACUGAGAUACGGCCCAGACUCCUACGGGAGGCAGCAGUGGGGAAUAUUGCACAAUGGGCGGAAGCCUGAUGCAGCAGCGCCGCGUGCGGGAUGAAGGCCUUCGGGUUGUAAACCGCUUUCGCCUGUGACGAAGCGUGAGUGACGGUAAUGGGUAAAGAAGCACCGGCUAACUACGUG